GAUGAACGCUGGCGGCGUGCCCAAUACAUGCAAGUCGAGCGAACGGACGAGAAGCUUGCUUCUCUGAUGUUAGCGGCGGACGGGUGAGUAACACGUGGAUAACCUACCUAUAAGACUGGGAUAACUUCGGGAAACCGUAGCUAAUACCGGAUAAUAUUUUGAACCGCAUGGUUCAAAAGUUAAAUACGGUCUUUCUUUCACUUAUAGAUGGAUCCGCGCUGCAUUAGCUAGUUGGUAAGGUAACGGCUUACCAAGGCAACGAUGCAUAGCCGACCUGAGAGGGGGAUCGGCGAGACGGGAACUGAGACACGGUCAAGACUACUACGGGAGGAAGCAGUAGGGAAUCUUCCGAAAUGGGCGAAAGCAUGACGGAGCAGCGCCGCGUGAGUGAUGAAGGUAUUCGGAUCGUAAAACUCUGUUAUUAGGGAAGAAAAAAUGUGUAAGUAACUGUGCACAUAUUGACGGUACCUAAUCAGAAAGCCACGGCUAACUACGUG
rnacentral:rRNA from 1 species